rnacentral:rRNA from 1 species
UUAGCAGUGAGGAAUAUUGGUCAAUAGCCUAACGGCUGAACCAGCAACUUGGAGGAAAGUAUAGCGAAAGCUAAUUGUAAAUAUUACAAGCUCGAUUUACUCGGAUAAAAUUCUAGAUAGGAUUAUGAUAAUGACAUUACCUAUCUAUAGGUCUUGACCAAAUUACGUGCCAGCAGUCGCGGUAAUACGUAAAAGACUAGUGUUAUUCAUCUUAAAUAGGUUUAAAGCGUACCUAGACGGUUAAUCAAGCCUAAUUUUGGGACUAAUUAAACUAGAGUUUUAUGUAAGGGUGCAUUAAGGUACUGUUGAGGUGUAGAGAUGAAAUUCUGUCAUACCAGAUUAUUGGCACGGGUUUAGGCGAAAGCAUCACCUUAUGUAAUAACUGACGUUGACGGACGAAGGCUUUGUAUCGCUACAGGAUUAGAUACCCCAGUAGUCUAAGCAGAAAAUGAUGAGUGUCAUAUGUUGAAGAUAAUUAUUUGGUCUAUAAAUGAAAGUGUAAGCACUCCACCUCAAGAGUAAUUUGGCAACAUUGGAACUGAAAUCAUUAGACCGUGUUUGAAACCAGUAGUGAAGUAUGUUGUUUAAUUAGAUGCCACGCAAAAAACCUUACCACAAUUUGAAUGUUGGAAAACACAAGCGCUGCACGGCUGUUUUUAGUUAAUGUCGUGAGACUUUGGUUCGUUCCAUUAAAUUAACGUAAACCCUUACUUUAUUUUUACAUAAAGUUGUUCGCCGCUAGAUUGGUUAUGAUAACAGGGAUUAAGACAAGUCAUCAUGGCCUUAAUAUUGUGGGCUAUAGACGUGCCACAUAAA